ensembl:misc_RNA Y_RNA Y RNA
GGCUGGUCCAAGUGCAGUGGUGUUUACAACUAAUUGAUCACAACCAGUUACAGAUUGUUUUGCUUCUUCUCCAUUUGCACUGCUUCACUUGACUAGCCAAAA